rnacentral:misc_RNA from 1 species
GAUGAAGAACGUAGCGAAAUGCGAUACGUAGUGUGAAUUUCAGAAUUCAGUGAAUCAUCGAAUCUUUGAACGCACAUUGCACCUCUCGGUAUUCCGGGAGGUAUGCCUGUUCGAGCGUCAUUUGUACCCUCAAGCUCUGCUUGGUGUUGGGUGUUUGUUCCGCCUCUGUGUGUGAACUCGCCUCAAAACAAUUGGCAGCCGGCGUACUUGUUUCGGAGCGCAGCACAUUUUGCGAUCCAGAUCAACGUACAGCGGCAUCCAAGAAGCCUUAUUUAACGCUCUUGACCUCGGAUCAGGUAGGGAUACCCGCUGAACUUAAGCAUAUCAAUAAGCGGAAGA